rnacentral:lncRNA from 1 species
CCCCACCCCUUCUCUUAGUUGUUUUCUAUUGGCCAGUGGGUUGAUCAAAUACCAGCUACUCUAUCAUGAACAGAGCAAGUACUCUGGGUUAAGGUUUUUAAUAUAUUAAUGUGUUUCCCCCAAGAAUAAAUUUGAAGUAUAAUAGUAGGUAGUAAAAUACUAGGCUUUACUGCACAGGUGCAAUAGUGUUCAUGAGUGUAGAUUUCUGGUAUUAAGGCAGUCCUCAGGGAAAUUUGUAGUGCUUCUAGGAAUAUUAUAGAUAGACAUGACCAUAAUUAUAGUAUUCAGGUGAUACAUUCAUGAAAUAGCCUCUUGACGAUCAUAUAUCUAUGGUUUCAAGAGCGUGUACAGUGAGAGAAAGGAUGAAUAAAUAAACUGGGAAAAGAGUAGAGAGUGGGUAAUUAUGUGGAAAACGCAUGUCAAAUAAAGGCCAUGAGAUCAAUUAGACAUUUAUGGAGUACCCCUAUAUUAAAUGCCUAUACUAGGCACAGUGGUAUAAAAUGAUAAGCGUACUUAUUUGGGGAUGGUUGACCCCAAGAAAUUUAUAAUACUAUUCAGAAAAAAGAUUAAAUGGAAAAUUGAGAAUAAAAUUUCAGGUGCUAUAUAGCAGUUUAGAGUGGCAAUAAAAAGAUUUCUGAAAGAGAUACAAAGUAGAGCUCAGCAAGUAUGUAUUGAGCUUAAUCCUAUCUACAUUUAAAACAAAGCGAAGUUAAUAAAACAAAUAAGCAGGAUGUUUAAUUCUAAUUAUCAGAAGGAUAAAAAUUUUAAAUUUCUGCACAUUCCAAAAACGAAAUGGGGUCAACUGGCACUUUCCCACAUAGGGUACUAGGAAAGAAAACACUAGUUUGCACACCCUACAUAAAGGUGUAUUGUUCAAAUGAGAGUUUUUUGUUUUUCUCUUUUUGUCAAUUUCAAAUUCUAUGGCUAACAGGAUAUUGGUUAGCAGUGUUUUAGACUUGGUGGAGCACAAGAUUUUUAGGGCUUGAAGGCUUCAGGACAUGUUAUUUGAAGUAGGAUUAAGGUUUAAUUCCAUUUAUACAUGGCUGCACCCAAGAUUUACUCAAUCACAACCUCAAAUCAUGUUCACCAAGCUCUAAAAAUGUUUCUGAUAUAGAGCCAGGUUUACAAUCCACCGUUUUAUACAGGAAUUAAAUUAUAACUCCUUAAUUUACACAGUGACAUUCAAGGACUGAAUACAAAACACCUCUGCCUGAUUGACAUCAUCAGUAAGAUAUUUUAUUCAUCAAAAUAUGUAGUAAAUAUAUUCUGCCAAAAAUUAAAUUAAAUAGAUAACUCUAAAGAUAGGAAAGGGUUAGGAAACU